rnacentral:misc_RNA from 1 species
AACCUUCAACCCCGAUUGAAUUCUUUUUCGAUUCGGGAGUUUGGACUUGGAGCGUGCUGGCGCGAGUCGGCUCCUCUGAAAUGCAUCAGCGGAAAUCAAAUCCUUGGCUUUCGGAACAUCAGCGUGAUAAUCGCGUUGCGCUGUUGGUCGAAGCUUAAUGUCCGCUUACAAUGGUCUUUGGACGAUUCACCUA